rnacentral:tRNA from 1 species
UCCGGGGUGAAUCGGAUUCCGGCGAGUCUCAUAAGCUCGCUGACGCAGGUUCGACUCCUGCCCCCGGGA